UACGGGGGGUGCUAGCGUUAUUCGGAAUCAUUGGGCGUAAAGGGCGCGUAGGCGGUCUCUUAAGUCAGGUGUGAAAGCCCUCGGCUUAACCGAGGAAGUGCAUUUGAUACUAAGAGACUUGAGUAUGGGAGAGGGAAGCGGAAUUCCUGGUGUAGCGGUGAAAUGCGUAGAUAUCAGGAGGAACACCGGUGGCGAAGGCGGCUUCCUGGACCAAUACUGACGCUGAGGCGCGAAGGCGUGGGGAGCAAACAGG
rnacentral:rRNA from 1 species